rnacentral:rRNA from 1 species
AACGAACGCUGGCGGCAUGCCUAACACAUGCAAGUCGAACGAGACCUUCGGGUCUAGUGGCGCACGGGUGCGUAACGCGUGGGAACCUGCCCUUAGGUUCGGAAUAACUCCCCGAAAGGGGUGCUAAUACCGGAUAAUGUCUUCGGACCAAAGAUUUAUCGCCUUUGGAUAGGCCCGCGUUGGAUUAGCUAGUUGGUAGGGUAAAAGCCUACCAAGGCGACGAUCCAUAGCUGGUCUGAGAGGAUGAUCAGCCACACUGGGACUGAGACACGGCCCAGACUCCUACGGGAGGCAGCAGUGGGGAAUAUUGGACAAUGGGCGAAAGCCUGAUCCAGCAAUGCCGCGUGAGUGAUGAAGGCCUUAGGGUUGUAAAGCUCUUUUACCCGGGAUGAUAAGGACAGUACCGGGAGAAUAAGCUCCGGCUAACUCCGU